CCUGUGCAUCGCUUCGUCGCUGCCCGCCGCAAGGCGGGGAGAGGAAAGUCCGGGCAGCGCAGGGCACCGUGCUUCCUAACGGGAAGGGGGCGUGGCGGGAACGCCACGUUCACGGAAAGUGCCACAGAAAGGGAGACCGCCGAACCGCAGCGAUGCGGUGGCAAGGAUGAAAAGGUGGGGUAAGAGCCCACCAGUUCCGGUGGUGACAUCGGAAGCUUGGUAAACCCCACGGGCUGAAAGACCAAAUAGGCCGGGGUCCGGCCGGGCCACCCUGCAAGGGGCCCCGGUCGGUAAGGGCGGCCCGUCCGAUCCCGGCGGGUAGGUCGAUGGAGGUCCAUCGCGAGGUGGACCCUGGAUAGAUGACGAGGGCCCCGCUCCGGUGGGGAACAGAACCCGGCUUACAGAUGCACAGGCCUU
rnacentral:RNase_P_RNA from 1 species